GCUUACAAAAUCACACAAAGAUGGAAGGAGAGGAGGGGUGGGCGUGUAGAGUUUGGGGUGUCCAACUCUUGGAUGCCCCAACCCUCUUUUCUUUUUUAUGACAAGAGAGAAGGGAGGAUGCCUCUUUUUCACAGAAGGAAGAGAGGAGAGGGGCACACAUCUAGUGGGGUGUGGGAUUUCUCAACAUGAAGAGGAAGUGGG
rnacentral:lncRNA from 1 species